CCGUCACCAGCCUCCUCCCCGGACCCCCAAUGGGCCGGCGACCCCCGUCCCCGGUCCGCCAUGAAAGUGAUCCAGGGGGUCCACAGUCGGGUGCAGCGUUCCUGUGUUCCCCGGAGCUCUGCCGUGAGGGUCUCCAUCUUGUAUAUCUCGUCUAUCUUAUCUAGCCAUUGAGAUAGCGUGGGGACAUCGGUCGACUUCCAUCUGGCAGGGAUCAGGCUCUUGGCGGCGUUGAGGAAGUGCCGAAUUAGAGAUUUUUUGUAGCGUGAUAUUGGCAUUUGCGUAUGGUUGAGUAACAUGGGCAAGGGCUCCAUGGGGAUGUCUUCUUCAAGGAUUUCCAAGAGUUUGUCAUGUACCUGUUGCCAGUAACCUGUGAUCCGGGGGCAUGCCCACCAGACAUGCAGGUCUGUACCUUCAGCGGCUCUACAUCGCCAGCAUGAGUCGUCAGUUGCUAGUCCCAUGGACCGCAGUUUGGACGGAGUCCUGUACCAGCAGGUCAGGACUUUGUAGUUAAGUUCUCUCAUUUUGGUACUUAGGAUCCCCUGGUGCGUGAGAAUGUGAACCUUCUCCCAUUGCUGGUCCGUCAGGGCGACCCCUGUUGCUUGUUCCCACCUGGCGUGGAAGUGAGCUGGCGCUCCCUGGUCAGCAGCCAGGAGCAUUGCGUAGAGCAUCGAUAUCCCGCGGGUCAGGUGUUCUUCACUGGAACAGUAAGUCUCAAAUUGCGUGGGGUCUCUGUGCAGUAACUGUCUCCCUUGGAGGGUGGCGUAGUAAUGCUUAACUUGUUGGUAACGGAAGUGAAGCAGGCCCGUGGGUCUGGAUUGUGCUGUCAGAGCGGUGUAGGUUUUCAUCCCUGUCCUGGUACACCACUCCCGGAGGAGCCGGGCCCCCCCCUCCCCAAUGCCAGUCACGUCUUGCGUUCGCAGCCCAUCAGCCAGGUCGGGGUUGUAUACAACCGGUGUUAAGGGCGCGGGGAAGGUCGUGAGCUGCAAUUUAUAGCGGAUGUUCGACCAUAUCCUCAGCGUCGCCCCAAUGAAGGGGUGGCGACUGAGUUCCUGGUCUCGCAUCGGAACCCGCGUCCAGACCACCGGCGGGAUCCGUCCCCGCGCCCACGUCCGCUCCAGCUGAACCCACUGUUUGUCCGUGGCUGACACAUGCCAAUCGAUGAUGCGGGAGAGGUGGGAGGCCUGGUAGUAUCCCUUGAUAUGUGGCAAUCCUGUGCCUCCACGGUGCUUCGGGAGGAUGAGCUGCGCCCUCCUCACCCUCGGUGGGCCCGUCGACCAUAUGAAUUUCAGAAUCGCGGAGUCCAGGGAUCGGAAGAAGGCCUGCGGCAGAGCUAUUGGGACGGUCUGGAACAGGUACAGCAGGCGUGGCAGCAGGUUCAUCUUCACUGCGUUUAUCCGACCAAACCAAGACACGCAGAGCUUCCCCCAGCGCAUCAGGUCCGCUUGGAGUGUGCGGAGGAUGGGGAGGAAGUUUUCCUGGUAGAGCUGGGUUAGGUCCCUCGUCAACCAGAUCCCUAGGUAUUUUAGUCGGCGCGGGCACCACCGGAAGGGGAAGCGAGCCUGCAAGAGUUCCCCCAGCUGACGUGUCAGAGAUAUAGGAAGAGCUUCCGACUUCGUCGCGUUGAGUUUCAAGUUGGAGAGGGCUCCGAACGCUUCGAAUGCCAAGAGUAGAUUAGGGAUCGUGACCAGUGGGCUUCCCAUGAAGAAUAGGAGGUCAUCCGCAUAGGCCGCCACCUUAUGUUCCCGGCCGCCUUGGGUGAGCCCCGUUAUUCCCCCAUCCCGUCUGACCGCCUCCAGAAAAGGUUCCAGAGAGAGGGCAAACAGAAGGGGGGACAGGGGGCAUCCCUGCCGGGUCCCGUUUUUUAUCUCAAAUGUCGGGGAGAGGACUCCGUUGAUCCGAAGCUGGGCCGUCGGGGUCGUGUAGAGCGCUGCAAUCCAGCGCAGGAUGUUAGGGCCGAAGCCCAUCUUCCGGAGCGUGGCUUGAAGGAAGUGCCAGUCCACCCUGUCAAAGGCCUUCUCAGCGUCGGUAGAGAGGAGAAGGCUACCCCGCUCAGAGCGCUGUUGUGUGUGCAGGAUGUUGAGAGCCCUGACCGUGUUGUCCCUAGCUUCUCUCCCCGGGAUGAAGCCAGUUUGAUCCGGGUGAACCAGCGUAGAGAUCAGGCGGCCUAUGCGGUUCGCUAGGACCUUCGUAAAAAGUUUUAGAUCAGAGUUGAGUAGCGAGAUCGGUCUAUAGCUGGAGCAUUCGGCUGGGUCCUUGCCUUCCUUGGGAAUAACCGUUAUGGUUGCCAGGAGGGUGUCCCCCUGAAACCGUCCUUCUUCCAGUAGCGAAUUCAGGCCCGACAAUAGUUCCGGUAGUAGGAUCUCUCCGAAUGCCUUAAGGUAGCGUGGGGGGAGCCCAUCAGGUCCCGGGGCCUUAUCGAGGGGGGUGUUUUUUAGGGCCCCCUGUAGCUCCUCAAGCGUAAUGGGGGAUUCGAGUUCCUCCCUUUGUUCGCGUGUGAGAAUCCGGGUGACAUGUUGGUCUAAGUAGGCUUGAGUCUUCGUUUGUCUCCUGUGCGUCUCCUCGGUUGUCCUGUCCGGUGCAAUGUUGUAGAGUUUGGCAUAGUAAUCUCGGAAUUCCCCGACUAUCUUGUCAGGUACUUGUGUAAUGAGACCGUUAUGCGACCUGAUUUUAGUUAUAUGGCUCUGGCGGCGUUUCUGCUGCAACAUUCUGGCGAGCAGUCGGCCACACUUAUUGGAAAACUCGUAGAAGUGGCGAUUGGAUUUCCGCAGUGAGUGUGAGAGUUGUUUAGACAGUUGGUGUUGUAGUGCCCGUCGUGCGUCUAAUAGAGCCCUGUAUACUUCCUCCGAGUCUGUAGCUUUGUGGUCUUGGUCUAACUGGGCGACCCGCGCAUGGAGGUCCGUUAGGAGCCUGCGCGACUCCUUCUUUCGCGCUGUGCCAACCUUGAUGAAAUGUCCCCGGAUUACGCACUUGUGUGCUUCCCAGCGGGUCAGGUGUGACGUCUCUGUGGCAUCAUUUUCAUUGAAAUAUUGGCGGAGAACCGUCUUGGCAUCCGCCAGGGUGACUGCAUCUGCUAGCAGUUGGUCAUUUAGCUUCCAUUGCCGGCGUGUGGGCUUGUGCAGGGGGGACGCCAUGACGGCCAGAACCGGGGAGUGAUCAGACCAUGUGGCCGGAAGGAUCUCACAUGAGUGCAACAGGUGGAGGUACUCUUGAGAGACAAAAAUGUAGUCUAGUCUGCUGUGUCCCCGGUGUACUGGGGAAUAGUAGGAAUAAUCUCUCGUGUCUGGGUGAAGGACCCUCCAGCCGUCCGCGAGCCCUGCUGUUCGAAGUGCCGUCUGGGAGACCCGAAGGCAGGUUGCCGACAGUGAGCUGCCCCCCCUCGAGGUGUCCAUGCGGGGGUCCAUGGGGAUGUUAAGGUCACCCGCGAGGAUUAGGAGCCCCUCCCUGAAACCCUCAAGCAGCCGUGCUAUUUUCGCGAGGAAGCGAUGUUGUUUGGUAUUAGGUGCAUACACAGAGGCGAAGGUGUAUCGCCGGUCUGCUAUCGUGCCUUUAAUAAAUAGGUAGCGUCCGUUCGGGUCGGCCAGUUCCUCCAGGCAGUUGAAGGGCACGGUGCUGGCGAAGAGGAUAGCCACUCCUGCUUUCUUGGCGUCUCCGUGGUUGGCGAAGAACCCCGUGGGGAACCUCCGAUCCCGGAGGGCCGGAGCCUCUUUCCCCUGAAAAUGGGUCUCCUGGAGGAAUGCGACCGAUGCCCGAGCCGCCCACAGGGCUCUCAGCAGAUGUGACCUCCGUUCCGGCGUAUUUAGACCCCUGACAUUGUUGGACCAAAGACGAAGGGGCGCCUGGGCGAACCCCCCAGUUCCCUGGGCGGACAUGGAGGCCAGAGCGGCGUCCCGGGGGCCGAGGGGGGAAGCGCG